ensembl:lncRNA
GGCCUGAGGCUCACACAGUGCGGGGGUGGUGUGCAACUGAGCUCCAGCCAUCAGAACCGUGUUCCAGGUGUAAUUCAUUAAGAGGAGUUCGUACUUGGCCCCUGAUCCAGCAUGACGAGUGUCUUUGUAAAAAGGGGAAAUUUAGACACAGACAAGCAUCGAGGGAAGAUGGUGUGAGAGACACAGGCUGAAGACGGCUGUCGAGAGGCCAAGAACAGAGGUCUGGACCAGAUCCUCAGUCUCAGCCUCGAAGGAACCAGUCCUACUUGAUCAACAGCGUCCAGCCUCCAGAACUGGGAGAGAGCACAGCACUGAGUUCCUUUCCCUGCAUCAUAUGCAGGAGUUUCCAGCAUCUCAACCCUGUUUAAACACGGGGCCACUGCGUCCAGCCUCCAGACCCUCAACUGCCCAGGCAGACUCAGGUGACCCAGAUCGCCGAGUGCCCCUUGGGAUUGGUCUGCUCUCUCAGAAUCCAUCCUGAACACAUUCUACAGUUCUACUGACAGACACUCAGCUUCCUGCAGUUCUCCUGGUGGCCAAGCCUUCACAUCCGGGUGUGACUGGGUGUUGGGACCUCACUGUCCCAGGUCUCAGUGGAUGGGGCUGGGCCAGGAGGUUUGGGGGCAAACUGACUUUUCUCCUACAAAGUAACCUCUCCAAGGAUGUCAUGACUGGGUCUUCAAGUAUGGGGACAACACUGUCUAAUGAGGGGAAAAGGGCUGUGGAGGGUGACGGGGCUCCUGGAGAAUAGGGCUUGGUGUCACCUGGGCUGCCCCACCCCCCACCCACCUUCUCUGGGCCCCAGCCGGAGGCCACAGGUUCACCUUCCGUGUCUCUUUCGGAACAAUCCAAAUCUGCCGUGUGUGACUCCGGACUCAGUUUAAUGGCUAUGAGAGAGGAGACGGGCCGCCACAGGCAGGUUCCUGCCUCCCCGAGAUGAGCAGUCAGGGGCUUGAGCUCAUCUCUGUCCUCCAGGUGGUCUGGCUUCCUUCAAAGGCCCCA